rnacentral:ncRNA from 1 species
AAAAGGUUUGGUCCUGGCCUUAUAAUUAGUUAGAAGUAAGAUUACACAUGCAAAACUCCCUGAACCAGUGUCAAAUCCCUUAAAGUUAAAUUUAACCAAAAGGAGAGGGUAUCAAGUCCAUAAAAUAGCUCAAGACACCUUGCCUAGCCACACCCCCACGGGACCCAGCAGUGAUAAAAAUUAAGCAAUGAACGAAAGUUUGACUAAGCUAUCCUUCUAAGGGUUGGUAAAUUUCGUGCCAGCCACCGCGGCCAUACGAUUAACCCAAAUUAAUUAUUCUCGGCGUAAAACGUGUUAUUCACUUAAAUAAAAUAGAAUUAAAAUCCAACUUAUAUGUGAAAAUUCAUUGUUUGGACCUAAAACCAGUCACGAAAGUAAUUCUAACAUACUAAUACACUACAGCUAAGACCCAAACUGGGAUUAGAUACCCCACUAUGCUUAGCCAUAAACCUCAAUAAUUUAGAAACAAAAUUAUUUGCCAGAGAACUACUAGCCACAGCUUAAAACUCAAAGGACUUGGCGGUACUUUAUAUCCAUCUAGAGGAGCCUGUUCUAUAACCGAUAUACCCCGUUCUACCUCACCACCCCUUGCUAAUUCAGCCUAUAUACCGCCAUCUUCAGCAAACCUUGAAAAAGAGUAAUAGUAAGCAAAAUAACACCCAUAAAAACGUUAGGUCAAGGUGUAGCCCAUGGAGUGGGAAGUAAUGGGCUACAUUUUCUUAACAAGAACAUUAACGCUACCCUUUAUGAAACUUAAAGGGCUAAGGAGGAUUUAGUAGUAAAUUAAGAAUAGAGAGCUUAAUUGAAUAGAGCAAUGAAGUACGCACACACCGCCCGUCACCCUCCUCAAAUUAAAUAACCGAUAUUAUACAUAAUUUCAUCACCCAAUUUAUGAGAGGAGAUAAGU